GAUGAACGCUGGCGGCGUGCCUAAUACAUGCAAGUCGAGCGAACGGACGAGAAUCUUGCUUCUCUGAUGUUAGCGGCGGACGGGUGAGUAACACUUGGAUAACCUACCUCUAAGACUGUGAUAACUUCGGGAAACCGGAGCUAAUACCGGAUAAUAUUUUGAACCUCAUGGUUCAAAAGUGAAAGACGGUCUUGCUGUCACUUAUAGAUGGAUCCGCGCUGCAUUAGCUAGUUGGUAAGGUAACGGCUUACCAAGGCAACGAUGCAUAGCCGACCUGAGAGGGAGAACGGGCAGACGGGAACUGAGACACGGUCGAGACUCCUACGGGAGGCAGCAGUAGGGAAUCUUACGCGAUGGACGAGAGGGUGACGGAGCAAAGCGGCGUGAGGGAUGAAGGAGUUCGGAUCGGAGAACGCUGUUAGUAGGGAAGAACAUAUGUGUAAGUAACUGUGAAGAUAUUGACGGUACCUAAUCAGGAAGCCACGGCUAACUACGUG
rnacentral:rRNA from 1 species